rnacentral:rRNA from 1 species
UACGUAGGGUGCAAGCGUUGCUCGGAAUCACUGGGCGUAAAGGGUGCGUAGGCGGCUUGGUAAGUUGGGUGUGAAAGCCCCGGGCUCAGCCCGGGAAGGGCACUCGAAACUGCCGAGCUGGAGUGCCGGAGGGGAGAGUGGAAUUCCUGGUGUAGCGGUGAAAUGCGUAGAUAUCAGGAGGAAUACCGGUGGCGAAAGCGGCGUGCUGGACCUUUUCUGACGCUGAGGCGCGAAAGCCAGGGGAGCAAACGGG